rnacentral:rRNA from 1 species
ACGAACGCUGGCGGCGUGCUUAACCCCUGCAAGUCGAACGGAAAGGCCUCUUUCGGGGGGUACUCGAGUGGCGAACGGGUGAGUAACACGUGAGUAACCUGCCCUUGACUUUGGGAUAACUUCAGGAAACUGGGGCUAAUACCGGAUAGGAGCCCCUGCUGCAUGGUGGGGGUUGGAAAGUUUCGGCGGUUGGGGAUGGACUCGCGGCUUAUCAGCUUGUUGGUGGGGUAGUGGCUUACCAAGGCUUUGACGGGUAGCCGGCCUGAGAGGGUGACCGGCCACAUUGGGACUGAGAUACGGCCCAGACUCCUACGGGAGGCAGCAGUGGGGAAUAUUGCACAAUGGGUGGAAGCCUGAUGCAGCAACGCCGUGUGCGGGAUGACGGCCUUCGGGUUGUAAACCGCUUUCGCUCAUGACGAAGCUUUGUGUGACGGUAGUGGGUAAAGAAGCACCGGCUAACUACGUG